UCACCGGGAGUUAAUAUGGGAC
rnacentral:miRNA from 1 species